CCGCGGGAGCCCCAACCCCCAAGGGGCCAAGGUGGCUGUGCAGGAAGUCUGGCUCCAGGGCCUUGCAAGGGCUUUGCCCUCGGCUCCCGCCCCUCCGAACACCCCGGUCUCCCAGGCCAGGUGUCCUCCGUGAGGGGCACGUGGCUGCCCCAUCUGUGUCACCGUGAGCCAGGCCCUCUUAGCUAGGGCUCGAUGUUGUUGUCUUCACUGAGGAACCCCGGGUGCUGGGGGCACAUUCAGAUCCCUGGGCUCUGGCUGUACCCCCACCUACACAUGAGGGGGAACUGCCCCUCCAGUUCAACUACUUUGGGUCGUGGUACCGGGCUGGGUCCAGAGCUGCAGCCCGCCUCUUCCUUUCCCCAGAUCCCGCCCAGUUCAGUCGCCUGUGCCCGCCCUGGCAACCGCCCAGGGGGCUCUCCUAACAUCGACCCAGGAUCUGAGGAGGCUCUGGGUGGCUCAGGCCGCUCCUGAGUAGGCUUGUCGCCCCUCAGGCUUGUCACCCUGCAGAGAAGGCGGAAGCUGCUUUAUCAGAAAGAACAGCAGAUGCAAAGGUCCUGAGGUUGGAAGCUUGAGGAACAGCCAGAAGUCCCGUGGCUGACUCAGGAAGUCCGGGAAGUUGGCCCAGGUGGACAGGACUGGCUGGGAAGGGCCUAACAGGUGGCAGCAAAGAGCACAGGUGUCAUCUCCUCCAGGAAGGCCUCCCUGCUGACCAGGGCUGAGCUGGGGAGACCACAAGCAGAUUCCACCAGGAGUGUGGGGACCACAUGCAGCUCAUCUCUGUGGCUGUACAUGCAGCACGGACCAGGCCCAGGGCAGCCAGUACCAGCGGUCUGCAGAGCCCGCGGAGGAUUGCUCGCCCACGCGGAGUCUCGUCAUGCCAGCCUGGCCCCCAGCCCCGGACACCCCAGCACAGAGAUGCCUGCACUCCCCAGGCCAUGUGCUGCUCCCGACCACGGCAGCCGCCAGCCCCUGGUAUGCCCCUGGGGCUUGGGAGAGAGGCCAUGCUCCAGUUACCUCCAGACCAGAGUGGCUCCACACCAUGCCCUGUGUCAGCGUCCUGAGGCCACCACAGCAAAAAGCUACAGACUAGCGGGCUUGGACCACCGGAGAGCACUCGCCGUUCCUUGUCUGUGGACUGCGCUGGCACUGUGCCCGGCUCUGCCCUCCACCUUUGGGUAUCUUCUUCCUCUUCCUACAGGGACACCCGUCACAGGGACCUCCUCUUAACUCCAUCCGCAAAGAUCUUAUUUCCAAAUUAUGUCACAUUCUGAUGUUUCAGGUGGAUGUGGAUUUGGGGGGAAUUUCUUCAACCCACCACACUCUGCCCUCUGAUCCCCUUAAAAGUCCCUUUGGUCUCAUGUUCAGAAUAUACCCGCCCAUCCUGCCAGCUCUCAGAGUCUUAACCCAUUCCAAAAGGGAGAGGAGAAUGGACAGAAGGACAGAGUCGCUGGUCCCAAGCAAGUCUGAAGCCUGGAGAAGCAGCAGCCAGAGACUUCAGGGCCCGAGAAUAAUCCUCUGUAGCCCUUCACUCUGUCCUCUAGGCACAUGGCAGCAGCCCUGCUGUCUGGGGCCCUGGGCACUCCGUCAGGGAGUUCACACCACCAGACAAGAACCCCCACAGACCUGGCCUGGGGUCCCCACCUCUGUCCCGAUGCUGGGCUGAGAGGGUGCACCCCCAAUUUCUCCAGGAACAGGGGUUCCCACGGCACCGCCGGUGUCCCUUCAGACCUAAUUUAACAAUCUGGACAGGUUCCCUUUUGCCCAACAGCCCCUCCCCCAUUGGCCUCCUGCCCCCCCACCCCCAGGAUUUACAAGCAGCUUUGUUUGGAAAUGUCCUCAGCUAAACAUCCAAGUUCGUCCCUUCCAGUGUCUCCUUUGUGCUCAACCUGAGAGCGUGGUUCAGCCAGGCUCUGCCACACUCAAGUCCCCAACGCCCUCCCCAGAGGAGCCUUUCUCGUCCCUGUUUCUACCAAGAAGCUCUUGGAGGACAUUGAGUCACCUUCCAUCCCGUGCCCCAAACUCGUCCAGUUCCCAGCUCCUCAGCCACUCCCGAGGCCCAGCAUUUGCUAGCACAAAGUCAGGGCUAGAUCCCUGGAGAAGAACACAUUGCCACAAAGUGGCCAACAACAGAACUUAAAUUCAUCAAAACAACAGAAAUGUAUCCUCUCUUGGUGCAGGAAGCCGGGACCCUGGGGUCAAGGUGUGGGCAGGCCACACUCCCUCUGGAGGCAGCGGGGUGGACCCUCGCGCACCUUCCAACCCUGCUCGCUCUGCCUGUCCAGCUCUCCACCGCCUUCGGGUGCGCCAGGACGCCGAGCUGUCACGUGGCCGUCCCGGAGUGCCCUCUCUUCUGAUACAGACCCAGUUAUGGGGUUACGGUCUGCUCUAUCCUUACUUUAACUAAUAUCACAUUUUGAGGUUCUAGGUGGACAUGAAUCAACCCAAGACCCCUGUGUCGGCUUGCUCCCCCCCGCCUUCUCCGCUUGUUCUCCCCCCGCAGCAGGUUUCCUAGGAGCCUCCCGAGUAAAUUCCUUGCAUUCAACUUGUACGGCAAGAUCUGCCACUGAGAGAACCUUACGUGACACAAACCCGUGCUCUGAGCUCCCAGGGACC